CAGGAAUGGGAGUGUGGUUCCUUCAAUCAAUAUCUUAGGGACAGGAAUGGGAGUGAGAGGGAGUGCGGUUCCUUCAAUCAAUAUCUUAGGGACAGGAAAGGGAGUGUGGUUCCUUCAAUCAAUAUCUUAGGGACAGGAAAGGGAGUGCGAGGGAGUGCGGUUCCUUCAAUCAAUAUCUUAGGGACAGGAAAGGGAGUGUGGUUCCUUCAAUCAAUAUCUUAGGGACAGGAAAGGGAGUGUGGUUCCUUCAAUCAAUAUCUUAGGGACAGGAAAGGGAGUGUGGUUCCUUCAAUCAAUAUCUUAGGGACAGGAAAGGGAGUGUGGUUCCUUCAAUCAAUA